rnacentral:rRNA from 1 species
UGGGGAAUAUUGGGCAAUGGGGCGCAAGCCUGACCCAGCAACGCCGCGUGAAGGAAGAAGGCUUUCGGGUUGUAAACUUCUUUUAAGAGGGAAGAGCAGAAGACGGUACCUCUUGAAUAAGCCACGGCUAACUACGUGCC